CUCUCUCGCGCUCGCAUCUCCCUCUCUCCCUCUCCUCCUCGCCGCUCCGCCUCCGAAAUUCACGACUUCCCCCUCCGGCCCGCCGCCACCGCCGCCGUAGCCUCCGCCGGCUGCAGCUCCCGCCGGGACCACGGGCCCGAGCCGGGCGUUUUCCUCCGUCGGUCUGCACGACCGAGCCCUGGGUUUGAGCCGAUCGUCUUCUCGCCAAUCAUCUUCUCGCCGGAAAAAGGGAGGCGGAGGAGGAGUCCAUUAGCCGGAAAAAGGGCGAUAGGAAUAGGCUCAAACCAAGAGACCAAGGAGUCCAUUCACCGAUCGUCUUCUCGCCGAUCUUCGCAAUCGGGAGAAAUUGCAUCUAAAAGCAACCAAUAGAGCAAGGUUCCUUGGCCAGUCUUUCCGUUCAGGAGCUUAGAUGUUCUUCUUUAGGACGGUGGGAAAAUCCACUGGUAAA